GCUUUGUGGAUAGCUCAGUUGGUGGAGCAUGAGACUCUUAAUUUCUGGGCUGUGGGUUCAAGUCCACGUUGGGCA